CGACGGAGCUGCUUUGAGAAGUUUUCGGAUGGAUUUAAAACCCCUUAGUGGCGGACGGGUGAGUAACGCGUGGGUAACCUGCCUCACACUGGGGAUAACAGUUAGAAAUAGCUGCUAAUACCGCAUAAGCGCACAGUUCCGCAUGGAACAGUGUGAAAAACUCCGGUGGUGUGAGAUGGACCCGCGUCUGAUUAGCCAGUUGGCGGGGUAACGGCCCACCAAAGCGACGAUCAGUAGCCGGCCUGAGAGGGUGAACGGCCACAUUGGGACUGAGACACGGCCCAAACUCCUACGGGAGGCAGCAGUGGGGAAUAUUGCACAAUGGGGGAAACCCUGAUGCAGCGACGCCGCGUGAGUGAAGAAGUAUUUCGGUAUGUAAAGCUCUAUCAGCAGGGAAGAAAGUGACGGUACCUGAAUAAGAAGCCCCGGCUAACUACGUGCCAGCAGCCGCGGUAAUACGUAGGGGGCAAGCGUUAUCCGGAUUUACUGGGUGUAAAGGGAGCGUAGACGGCAAGGCAAGUCUGAAGUGAAAGCCCGGUGCUUAACGCCGGGACUGCUUUGGAAACUGUUUAGCUGGAGUGCCGGAGAGGUAAGCGGAAUUCCUAGUGUAGCGGUGAAAUGCGUAGAUAUUAGGAAGAACACCAGUG
rnacentral:rRNA from 1 species